UAACAACGAACUGUGAGAAGUCAGCAGAAGCCGUAGUAGGCAGAGCCUUGAGAUAGGCGUUGCUGAAGGGC
rnacentral:ncRNA from 1 species